rnacentral:rRNA from 1 species
UGUUAAGCUACUAAGGGCGUACGGUGGAUGCCUUGGCGUCAAAUGCCGAUGAAGGACGUGGAACACUGCGAUAAGCCUCGGGGAGCCGUGUGCAGGCUUCGAUCCGGGGAUGUCCGAAUGGGGAAACCCGGCGUCGGGACGCAAGUCUCCGGCGUCAUCCCCUGGCUGAACACAUAGGCCAGGGGAGGGGAACCUGGGGAACUGAAACAUCUUAGUACCCAGAGGAAAAGAGAUCAUUCCGCUAGUAGUGGCGAGCGAACGCGGAAAAGCCCAAACCGGUCCGGCUUGCUGGACCGGGGUUGUAGGACCGGCACAUGGGAGUGAUAAAUCCAAGGGUUAGCAGAAUGGUGUUGAAAAGCCUACCGCAGAGGGUGCAAGUCCCGUAUGCGAAAACCUGAGGACUCCCGCCGAGUUCCUGAGUACUGCCGGGCACGCUAAUCCGGUAGGAAGCUGGGGAGCCCACUCUCCAAGGCUAAAUACGUUUGACGACCGAUAGUGAACAAGUACCGUGAGGGAAAGGUGAAAAGGACCCCUGUUAGGGGAGUGAAAUAGAACCUGAAACCGUAUGCCUACAAGCAGUCGGAGGGCUAAUGGCGCGUCUGUGUGCCCGGGAAACCGGGAAAUGCGGCGCUAUGCCUGACGGCGUGCCUUUUGGAGAAUGAGCCGGCGAGUUAAUCUCUGUGGCGAGGUUAAGGGAGUGACACCUGGAGCCGAAGCGAAAGCGAGUCUGAAUAGGGCGAAUUAGUCGCUGGGAUUAGACACGAAACGGGGUGAGCUACCCAUGGCCAGGGUGAAGUCCCGGUAAAACGGGAUGGAGGCCCGAACCUUUAGCAGUUGCAAAUGCUUGGGAUGAGCUGUGGGUAGAGGUGAUAUGCCAACCGAACUCCGAGAUAGCUUGUUCUCCCCGAAAUAGCUUUAGGGCUAGCGUCGCGCGUUGAGUGAUGGAGGUAGAGCACUGGAUGGACUAGGGGGCCUCACCGGUUACCCUACCCAACCAAACUCCGAAUGCCAUCACUUAUGAGCGCGGCAGUCGGACUACGGGAGAUGAGUUUCGUAGUCGAGAGGGAAAGAGCCCAGACCGCCAGCUAAGGUCCCCAAGU